rnacentral:tmRNA from 1 species
GCCCUUCCAAAUCGGGCCGGCAAUCCCUAUAUUAGUUCUGCCGCUUCGGCGGCUAUGGCGAUAAACGUUCUGUGAAAUAAGCGUUGCGGACCCGGGGGCGGUACCCGGCGCCUCCACCAUUUUCUUUUGGCACCCGCGCCAGGCGGGACCACAUGGGGGCGAAACAGGAUCGACGCGCGUGGUAAAGGCAGCGCUUUUGCCCGGUAUGAUACCACCGUUAUC